ensembl:lncRNA
CUCAGGAAGUGUCCUUGUCUUCUUCCUCUUCACAUGAUGAUCUUGUGUGUCAUGGGCCUCUGCUCUCUCUCAGAAACUGCUUUUUGGCGCCUGGCUCAGAAUGAACAUUCAUCACUGGUGGGCAGGACGCGGCGCGAAACUCUAACGGCCAAAGUUCACGCAGAGAGGAAAGCUGAACUCCUCAAGAGCAGCCCGAGAAAUCCAGCUCCAGCACAGAGGAGCCUCAUCGCCUCAUCGCCUCCUCUCCGCUCUGCUCCAGCCCUAGAGGACCAUAAACACAGCCUCUCCUCACAGCAGCCCGGGCCCGAGCCCAGCAUCUCUAUUACUAUUCCUGUUGCCACAGGGCAUUGAACCGCGGCGAACUGCGACCCCUGGCCUUAUUUUCAAAGAUGAUCUGUGAACUCGACUGAGGCUCAGCGAUUCGCUGUGAAUGCAGCCGUGCAGAGAGGGGAGCAGGUGAAUCGCUCUUCCUCUGCUGUUGUUUUUGAUGUGGAACAUGGUCUGAGGCGAUUUCUCAGUGUGUGCAGAGAGCAAACACAGGGAAGUCAAAUAAUUUGGCUUGAGACAUUGAGAAGUCCACAACUAACAAUACAGAUGUCAGCGAAAGCUGUGUGCGUUUUGAUUUCCAAAUGCUUUGUGCAAAGCAUACUUUGCUUCCUCUUGCAUCAAUUAAGACUUUAGGUGAUAAGGUCCGGCAUCUGAAAAAUAACCCCAGGAAGCAGAAUUAAGUUAAAACAUGCUCCUCACAUCCUCCUGUCCUCACUGAAAUAAAGGCAGCUAAAUGUUGUUCGUUUAGUUGUGUACAUCACCCUUUUACUGCCUCAAAUCCUUCCUGCUUCUCUCUGUGUGUGUAAAUCAAUUUGGGCUCUAGGCUGAUCUGCCUCACAGACACCUUUUCCUUUGAUUGGGUUCCCACCGCAGCCUAGUGCAGGACUGCAGCCAGCAUUAAGUUCUUUGAGGGAUUUGUACUCCCCCUAGUCCUGGCUUACCCGCAUUGACUCUAUCUGCUGUCCUCCACCGGCUCGGAGAAUUCACAAACCCGGGAUCUGUUGGGCGGGAAGGAAAGAGGCUUUCGCGGCAGACCUACCUGCAGGGCAAACGUCCUUCACAGGCCAGGAUCAGAAACUCCUGUUUGUAAUGAAUUCAAGCCACAUACAAAGAACAGUUUUUGGCUUUUGGGACAGCAUCCACUGCAUCCUUGAAAGACAACCAACCUUGUGUGCUUGAAUCUGGGUUAAUUGAAGCUUAAAUUAAGACUUGGUUUGGUUGUGAUUUUGAUGGAAAACUAUUAAAUAUACUACCGUUCCUCUGUGUUGCGUGUAUUUUUAGUGCACACACAAUCUAACCGCAUUACUUCUGUACAGCUCCUACUGUUGCUGCAGUAAUAAUAAUGGAAUUUAAUGCAUAUCAAAAUGAUGAGGUCAUUGAUAACUCUUUAUUGUGUUAUAAUGGGCACUGUAACACUUCCAGUUUAUUACUCUUAGGGUUAGGGUUAGAGUUACUUUUAUCCUUUAGCUUGACUGUGUUGUCUAAUAAUGUGUUGCAAAUGCUACACAAACCAUGUUUCAAACAAUGUUAAAAUCUUGAUUAUACUUAAGCCUUUUAUUGUUCUAAGCAAACAGAGUUUGUAAUCUUAAGAGCCUCUAAUAAAGAGUUCCAGACCAUAUGCCGACUGUUAACUGCAGACACAUAAUGAAUUUUCAUGCUGAGUUUUCAUGAAAAUAAGUAAGUUGUCCCUUGCAGUGAAAAUGAGUUACAGGCCUUGAAUUCCCCUCUUAAUUAGCAGGGUUUAAGAUGACGGCCUCAGAAGAAGCUAACACACACUUUCAUUUCUUUACACACUUUCUGAAGAGAGAAGGACUGUGAAACAGCGCCACCUGUUGACAGACUGCACUGCAGUCACACUCACUCAGUCUGCCACCGAUACAGCAAUUAUUCAGUGCAAGAGAAAGGUAAAGAUCACACGUGACUCAGUCUGCAGGUCAUUUAAUCUUCGAAGGUUUAAAGCAUCAGAAUGAUCCAGGAAUGGUGCUUAUCAAAUUAACUGGCAGAAGUUGCAAGCACUCAUGUCUGGAGUUUAUGUACCUGGGACAGAGUUAGUUAGGCUUCAAAGAAACAUAUUCCUGUGAUUGAGGUCGACUGUAAUGAUGUUUUAUGAACAUGCUAGAGGGGGAAACUGCACAGAAGAAAUGUUUUAGCAGCUCUCACUUUGAACCUCCGAGGUUUCUGCUCGUUCACUCGACCUGCUUUAUCACCUCGUAAAAACACAGGCGUGUUGGUGGACUAAGAUUUGCCGUUUUAAAUGAAAGCUUGAGUCAAGUUCACAUUUACCUGUUUAAUUGCUGCUACUUGGGCGCAAUUAUCGCUGAACCAACAAGUGUGUGUUAGGUUUGUCUGCAUGUAGAUCAGAGUCCAGAUGCUUUUUACUGGAAAUGAACUCACGCUACAAGACAAAAUAAAGAUGUAUGGUGUUUUUGCAGGUUUCUGUUGCAUGCAGGGAUCAUGAGUCUCUACCUGCCUGCAGAGAUGGAGGAAUGAUCCUCAACGUCUCUCUCACAGUCAUUCAGUGCUGAGGAGGAAAACACCCAGAUACCAUCAGCAUCACAACAGAAGCACAUGUGGGCACGAUCUUACAUUUCACUCUGUAAAGUCCUCACUGGGUCACCUGUCUGCCACUGCUGACACACACACACACGCACGCACGCAAGCACGCACGCAUGCACACACACACGCACACACACAUGCGCGCACACACACACACACACACACACACAACGUCUGUGUCUCUGUAUGGUGUUACAGUCUAGAUAUAUGUCUGUCUGUGUUUACUGCUCCAUGUUUGAAUCACUCUUUAUGAGUAAUGCAGAAAUGAUCAACUCCAGGCAGUGUGUGUGUGUUUCAUGGGUCAUGUUUCACACACAUGGACAGCGGUGCCUGUCUCUCUCUCAUUCUCACUGCUUCUAUACAAACAUAUAAGAUCCAAGAUGCCAGCUGGGACGUUUGAAGGCUUCUGCGCCUCAGAAAGAGUUUGUUCUCGACAGAUGGCUGUCUGUACGGAGACUGUAGUGUUCUCUCUAUAUUUACUGUAGAGCACUUUGGAUUUGCAGUGUAAACGCUCAUUUAUCUGAUGAGCACCGCCUACUCACCUGUCAAUCAAACCUCGAAAAUAACAAGCAGGUUAGGUUUAUAGAGUUAAUGUGUCCAGUCAAAUGUAUAUAUCAGUUUCUGAUAUGUUCUGAUGUACACUAAAGCAUCAAAAUAAUCAAAACUUAACUGUUAAAGCUGUUUCACACACAAUCUAUCCAUAACUUCUGUCUGAUUGAUAGUUUUUAUCCAGUAAAAGCUGUUUUAGUGUAAUUGUACAGACGUCCAGCUUCAGCUUGUGCUUCAUGUCUUUUUUUCAGAUCUUGACUGAUUUUUAUCAACGUCAGUAAUAUCUCCAGAUGAACUCUUCCUGGACUGAAGCAGCUCAGCUUUACUUGAUUCUCCAUCAAUCAUGUUUUAGAGUCUCAAAUCUGAUCCUCAGGAUCUUUUGAGGAGCGUUUGUUUCCAGAAGCUUUACUUUCACUGUUCCUCAGUGGAGGAAUGAUCUUCACAAGCCUCCAGAACAUCUCACAUCUUCUGAGGAGCCUCUAUCAGCACUGGAUUGCAUUGCAUUAUCUGUUUUUCUGAGGCAUAUUAUUGGAGAUAAAUGACAAAUGUUCCUUGAAGAUAUUUUGUACGUUUGCUACCAUAAAUGUAUCAAAAUGUAUAAAAAAUAAAUGUGUAAAAUUUUUUGAUUAGUAAUAUGCAUUGCUAAGAACUUAAUUUGGACAACUUUUUUUUUUUUUUGCACAGAUUUCAGGUUUUCAAAUAGUUGAAUCUCAGCCAAAUAUUGUCCUCCUAACAAACCAUACAUCAAUGGAAAUAUUAUUUAUUCAGAUGUAUAAAUCUUAAUAAAUAAAUAUGAAUACCCUUGUGACUGGUUUUGUGCUCUCAAUUCAUAUAUCAGGCUAAAUGAGCCAUAAAAUGUAUGAAAUGGUCAAAUGUAUACCAUGAGUGCUGUUUAACACACUUUGGGUAAAAGUAUCUGCCAAGUGCAUAAAUGUAAAUGUUUACGGCUGUCACAGAUGUCAUACUGACAGACGUCUCUGACUUUGGUAAACCAGUAAAGCUGGAGUGAAUCAAACACAGCUGAUGAUUUGAAGUGUGUGUGAGUGACGUUCAGAUUCAUGAUCCUCAGCUGUUCAUGGGCCGCUGCUUCCCAACAUCUCAUGCCAUGUUCAUCUGAAAUAGCUGGAGAUGGAAUAAAGAGUCUUUUAGUGCUGAGUCUUCAUUUCCUUUUUAAAAGCUACGAGCCACAAGAUAGUAGCUCCUCUGAGUGUAAAACUUAUGGAUGUUGAGCCAUAAACGGGGCGGCAGGUUACGAGGUAGUGAGUGGUUUGUGUUUUGGCACAGCUGUCCAUUUCCCCUGGAGAGGAAGACGUCCAGUGUGUGUCAUCCUCACAGACAGCGUGACAGAGGAGUGAUGAAGACAUGAUCGACUGGAGGCUGUGUGUCUCUGAUUCAGUUCAAAAUAAGCAUCAGUCACACAUUAAUAGACAAAAAGCAGACUUUCUUAAGAGACUUCUGACUGCUGUGUGUUAUACAAUGAAAGCUAAGCUCCAAAAGGAAACUCAUAAGAAUGCCAGUAAUUAAUGAGAUAUGCAUCCGACGUCAUAUCAGGUUUUUGUGAGAGUCAAACUAAUACUACUUUUUUACUUCUAUUAAAACUGUUAUUCACUUGUUGCUCAGUCUGUUCCUCACACAAAGCUUUGUAUGACUUCAGAAGACUUGAAUAUAGCAAUAAAGUCAGAAUAAAGUUAUAGUUCAUCCAAAAAAAAAAAAGGUCAUCAUUUCCUUGGCCUCGACUUGCUUCAAACCCG